UGGGGAUGGAUGUGGUUCUCAUGUAACGUGUUUUGGCAGCUGGGCUCUAGCUGGAGAGGGGAUGGGGAAUAGGAGAGAACAGGCUGUGCCAGAGAGGGAUGGCGACCCAGUGUCAGGCAUAUCUGGGUGAGAUUUCAGAAAUGCCUGCUUCCCAGCAGCAGGGAGCCCUCGAGGGCUGGAUUCUGUGUCUGGUUCAACAAUAACUGGAUUGGAAAGCAGCUGUCGUGUUAAAGAAUCAAGUCAGUUCGUACAUGAGCUCUUUGACAGAAGAAGGAGUUGGCAUUUGAGCCUGGAAGCUGUCAGGCUGAGAACGCGAGCUGAUGCGAAGUGUAAAGUGGGUGGAUUUUGCCUUCCAGCUGCACUUUCAAUGGGGGAAGUGCAGGUACUGCAGAUUUCUAUUGCCCAGUCUGGUACUGCCAUCUCCAAACUGGCAUGUCAUCCCCGAGCUGCUGCUUUCCCAUUAAAACCAAUGGAAAUUGGGGACCAAGUUCUCAAAGAAUGGACCAAGCUGCCAAUGGCUCCUCAGAGAACAGGAGGGCUGCAGCCUUGAAGUGAUUGUGCC
ensembl:lncRNA